rnacentral:lncRNA from 11 species
CAAAAGGUUCCUUUUUCGGCUAACCCCUCAUUCUGCUUACUGGGAAGUUACUCGAAUUGGAGGGUUAAUCUGCAAUCCAUGGAUCUGUGCAAACUCCAUCCCAUCUUGAAGCCUAUUCCUGGGGUGCCUGCAUAAGUACUCUGAGGCAAAUUGGAUUUCUUUGAUCCAUAUCCUGAAUUGGAUUAAACAGCUUUGAACUCCCACCAUGAAAUAAAGAGCCAGACACAAGAAAAUGGAUC